rnacentral:tRNA from 2 species
GCACAAGUAUUUGAUUUCAAAGAAUAUUAGAAAGGAUUUAAAAUCCCUCGCUUUUCGAAGCGUGCCAGUUCAAGUCUGGCCUCGGGCACCA